UGGGGGCCCCGCCUUACCCAUGGCAAGUCGAGCGGAGCGAGGGUGCUUGCACCUUAGCUUAGCGGCGGACGGGUGAGUAAUGCUUAGGAAUCUGCCUAUUAGUGGGGGACAACAUUCCGAAAGGGAUGCUAAUACCGCAUACGCCCUACGGGGGAAAGCAGGGGAUCUUCGGACCUUGCGCUAAUAGAUGAGCCUAAGUCGGAUUAGCUAGUUGGUGGGGUAAAGGCCUACCAAGGCGACGAUCUGUAGCGGGUCUGAGAGGAUGAUCCGCCACACUGGGACUGAGACACGGCCCAGACUCCUACGGGAGGCAGCAGUGGGGAAUAUUGGACAAUGGGGGGAACCCUGAUCCCGCCAUGCCGCGUGUGUGAAGAAGGCCUUUUGGUUGUAAAGCACUUUAAGCC
rnacentral:rRNA from 1 species